GUGAAAUUAAAAAGGAUUUCAUUUACUCCACCACUAUUUUUUUCCAACACAAUGUUUCAUGUUUGAUGGUUUUUCUAUCAGGUCAUACUAUCUUUUAAGAGAAAAGAGGGGUGAAGUCUUGUUAAAAGAAUUUGUGAGGAGGUGGUCAAAUCACAAAGUUAUGGUUAGAUGGCUUUGGAAGUUCUUUCAUUAUCUUCAACGAUACUUCAUUAGUUCAUUCCUAUAAGGAAGCUUCCCCCACUUGACAGAACUGCACUCAUGUCCUUCCCUAAUACUUGCCAUUUCAUUACUUCUUUAGGUCAAACUUCACAGAUAAGUGGAUUCGUUAUUCCAUUUCCCAAACUCUAGAACAUUAUUUGACUUAUUUCAAACUAUAUAUAUCCAAUUCUUAUAUGGUCUUUAGGUCUACAAUGAAGUGAAUGAACAACUAAGGGAUGCUGUAAUGUCUAUGGUAUGUUGAUGAAUGAUAACAGACUAUGUCAACAUGUUGGCAAUCUUCACUUCCUAGUCAAGCUCAAGAAUAACAGUUAUCUUAGUCCCUUAGAUUGGUGAAGAGCUUGAAGCAAGGAAUAUUAACCAGGCACUGCUUUGGAUGUUUUGGAUAUGCAUGCGGAGAUGGGAAUGGGAUCUAUGAAAUAUUAUGAGGACUUCGAAGUAGGCUUGCUUAAAGAGACUGAUGUGUAUUAUUCCAUAAAGGCCUCUAAAUCGGUUACAGUCUAUCCUCACUCAGACUACAUGCUCAAGGUGGAUGAAUGCUUGAAAGUUGAAACAGGAGAAAAACAGAGCUUCCUGCUACUUACAUUCUAGCAGUGAACAAAAGCUACUAAAGGUUGCGGAACAAGAGUUUUCUAUGUAUGCAGGUCAUUUGCAAGAGAAGGCAUUUUCAAAAGAUGUGAUGACUGUUGCUGCCAAAUUGGAUAGGAUGAGAACACCGGAUCAUUGCUGCUGCUACUCCCAAUACGCGUCCACAUCAUACUGAAAAUGGUUGAGCUACCAACUACUUCAAGCAGUGAAAAGAGAGAAUGAUAAGGCCACAUAGCAUGAUUCACAGAUUUAUUUCAUUAACUGUGAAGCCGAAUAAAAUAGGUUGCAUGUUGGAGUUUUGUGUGGUUGAAACAGGGAACCAAGUCAACUAACAAGUAAAAUGCAUGAGAUCAAUGUAGAUUGCACAAGACCAAUAAUUAUAUAGAGAAUUCUUUU